rnacentral:rRNA from 1 species
GAUGAACGCUGGCGGCGUGCCUAAUACAUGCAAGUCGAGCGAACAGACGAGGAGCUUGCUCCUCUGACGUUAGCGGCGGACGGGUGAGUAACACGUGGAUAACCUACCUAUAAGACUGGGAUAACUUCGGGAAACCGGAGCUAAUACCGGAUAACAUGUUGAACCGCAUGGUUCAACAGUGAAAGACGGUCUUGCUGUCACUUAUAGAUGGAUCCGCGCCGCAUUAGCUAGUUGGUAAGGUAACGGCUUACCAAGGCAACGAUGCGUAGCCGACCUGAGAGGGUGAUCGGCCACACUGGAACUGAGACACGGUCCAGACUCCUACGGGAGGCAGCAGUAGGGAAUCUUCCGCAAUGGGCGAAAGCCUGACGGAGCAACGCCGCGUGAGUGAAGAAGGUCUUCGGAUCGUAAAACGCUGUUAUUAGGGAAGAACAAAUGUGUAAGUAACUAUGCACGUCUGGACGGUACCUAAGCAGAAAGCCACGGCUAACUACGU